rnacentral:rRNA from 1 species
GAUGAACGCUGGCGGCGUGCCUAAUACAUGCAAGUCGAGCGAACAGACGAGGAGCUUGCUCCUCUGACGUUAGCGGCGGACGGGUGAGUAACACGUGGAUAACCUACCUAUAAGACUGGGAUAACUUCGGGAAACCGGAGCUAAUACCGGAUAAUAUAUUGAACCGCAUGGUUCAAUAGUGAAAGACGGUUUUGCUGUCACUUAUAGAUGGAUCCGCGCCGCAUUAGCUAGUUGGUAAGGUAACGGCUUACCAAGGCAACGAUGCGUAGCCGACCUGAGAGGGGGAUCGGCCACACUGGAACUGAGGCACGGUCCAGACUCCUACGGGAGGCAGCAGUAGGGAAUCUUCCGCAAUGGGCGAAAGCCUGACGGAGCAACGCCGCGUGAGUGAUGAAGGUCUUCGGAUCGUAAAACUCUGUUAUUAGGGAAGAACAAAUGUGUAAGUAACUAUGCACGUCUUGACGGUACCUAAUCAGAAAGCCACGGCUAACUACGU